CACCAUCAUCGUUACAAUUUCUCAUACACUCUUUCUCUACAUGGAACACUUUUCAGCUGUUGAUAACAUACCGCGUAAGAGUUGGGAGAAGCUAUAACAUCUCGGUUUGCCUCAAGUGUAUGCUGCGACUUUAGAACGAGUUGGAUUGACUUGAGUAAGAACGAAAUCUUGAGUAAGUUGUUUUUUUGGUUUUUUUUUUUUUGUUUUUUUCGGUGACUCAAUCUGUACACCUUCGACAUAUUAGUAUACAGGAUAAAAUACAACAGAACA